GACGAACGCUGGCGGCGUGCCUAAUACAUGCAAGUAGAACGCUGAAGAGAGGAGCUUGCUCUGCUUGGAUGAGUUGCGAACGGGUGAGUAACGCGUAGGUAACCUGCCUUGUAGCGGGGGAUAACUAUUGGAAACGAUAGCUAAUACCGCAUAACAAUGGAUGACACAUGUCAUUUAUUUGAAAGGGGCAACUGCUCCACUACAAGAUGGACCUGCGUUGUAUUAGCUAGUAGGUGAGGUAACGGCUCACCUAGGCGACGAUACAUAGCCGACCUGAGAGGGUGAUCGGCCACAAUGGGACUGAGACACGGCCCAGACUCCUACGGGAGGCAGCAGUAGGGAAUCUUCGGCAAUGGGGGCAACCCUGACCGAGCAACGCCGCGUGAGUGAAGAAGGUUUUCGGAUCGUAAAGCUCUGUUGUAAGUCAAGAACGAGUGUGAGAGUGGAAAGUUCACACUGUGACGGUAGCUUACCAGAAAGGGACGGCUAACUACGUGCCAGCCGCCGCCGUAAAAC
rnacentral:rRNA from 1 species